UUGAGGAGCUGAAGAAUCUUAGAAUUGGACUGGAGAUCUGUGGCCAAUAGAGCCCCAGGGAAUUACCUGCAUUGAGAAGCCCAGUGAUUGUGAUACCCCAUGGACUGCAGCUUCAGGAAGCAUGGAAGUAACCUGCAAAAUUAUUUCAUACAAAUCUGGAAAGGAACUCAUCUAUUCUAAAGUAUAUCAGUUUGAUGUAUGAUCCAGCCUUGGAACUCUUGUUAGUAGGAGUUUGAAAUGAGGUUGCCUUGAGCAACUUAGUGGGUCAUAUGAAGAAGAAAGGAUGGACAUGCAACCUCUACAUCUGAACUGAAAGAACAACAUUUGUGUACGGCACUUAUCAUGUAGACUGAUCUCUUAACAGGCUGAAGAAAUGACAAUCUAGAAGGGCAAGUAAUCUUCAGUAUUAUAGGCUUCGACACUGCAUGUUUCAUGUAGCAGAAGUGCUCUUCUUAUGAUGCUUAUACUUCACUUCAUAGCAUGAACAAAACUGAAUUACAUUUAUUGCAAUUCUUGAAAGGCUUUCUCAGGUGUGAGAGCACUCAGCAGUAUACCAGACUAAAAGCAGCCUUUUGGAUACUCACUAUCAUAAAGCAAACCCUUUAUCUGACAAAGUGUGGAGGAAAAUGGUACCUUGAUUGUUUUCCCCCAGCCCUUUAUGGUGAAGACAAAGAAAACACUUUCUUGCUCAGAGGGCAGCUGCAGAGUGGAAUGAGACUUGUCAGUAUUUUUGACAGAUCUUCAAGUUCUUCAUGCAGCUGAUAAAUAUUUAACUGCAGAGGAUAAAUAUCAAGCUGGGUACCUUCAAACACUUCAAUGAGAUGGACAGAAUUUAUUCUUUGGUGAUGCAAGUUCCAGCCUAGAGAAUAAGUAACAAUUUGACAAUAUGGUGGUUAUAACCAUUCAGAUAAAGGCUAGUAUGUAAACAUGUAGUGAGGAAAAAUAAAUACCUUGUCUGCUGCUCCAUAUGAGAUAUUGGAAAACUAAAUUAGUACACAAGGCUAGUGAGUUUGCUAGCUCUAAAAAGUAUUCUGAUUGGAUGGGUCCUCAAAAUUAUGUAAACAGAUAUCAAUGAUCUUCUCUAUAUUGUAUCUACUUGAACAGGAUCGUGCUCCCAUUGAAAACAGAAAUAACCAUAGAUUUCAAAUGAUUGAGGGUUUGUUCCAAAGCCCAUGAAGUCGAUGGAAAGAAUCCCAUUGAUUCCAGUUGAGCGGGAUUACAGCCAUGCUGUUAGUUGUUUUAGUUUUGCUACAAGGAAACUUAAGAUCCACAUUUGAAAAUAAUUAAAUCAGAUAUGCAAAAGAAGUGACCCAAAACACAUCAGACACAUUUUAUGGCUGCUAAGAUUUAUAAAGGGUUUUGUUUUUAUACAUGUUUGUCAGAAUCUGAUUGCUGACAACUAGUGAGAGUGCUGCUUUGGUUUAUGGCUGAAAUGUGGCCUUAAUUUUGGAAAUAAAUAUGAAGGAAGGAAAUGAGGAACAUUAAAAUACAAAGGACACAUUGAAGGAAAUGCCAGACUGAGUGCAACUAAUAAUGCAAGUCAAAUUUUAAAGUGUAAUUGGCAGGUCUAUGUUUCACAGCAAAUGAACUCUGAAGAAAGUCUCACUAUAACUUAAAUCAAGAUCAAUCCUCAAAAACACUGCAUCUCUGUUUAAAGGAAAUUUGUUUUGGCUAAAACUUGUAGUUAAUGAAAACAAUGUUCAAUGGUACUCAUGUAUAUGUGAUACUUUGUAAACCCAAACUAUCCCCCAGAAAGGUGUAUGAACUGAGGCUGUCAAUAGUAAAAAUACAUUUGUAUCUAUAUAUUUCCUCUUAUGAUGCUCAACAGUAUUGCUCAGACAUUUUGUGCGAUUUAACUCAUGUUGUUAAUUACUUAACCAACAAUUAGAGUAUAAAGUGAUUUGAAGUAUGAGGAUGAAAAACACCAUAU